UCCAUAUCCGCAAGAUCUUGCUUGUAUAGUAGUUCAGCCCCUGAAUUCUUGCAUCUUCUUGGACAAAGACCGAACUGACCGCUACAUAUGAGGCUGACAAGAAUAUAUAUAAUUUUUCACUUAUUGUUGGUUUGAAAAGCAGCGAAGGUAUUUUGAGGUACUUCUUGAGAUCUUCAAAUACAGCUCGACAUUCCUCCAAUCAGUAAAAGUUCUUCAUUAGCCUCAAGAUUUUAAAAAAUGGAAGAUACUUCUCGACCGACCUUGAGAUAAAUCGAUCGAGAGCCACUACCUGACUGGUAAGGCAUUGCACAUCCUUCUUGGUACUCAGAUUUUCAUCUCCAAUAAUGUUUGGAUCUUCUAUGAAUUUGUUUCGAUCCCGUGCUGUAUCACCAUGAACCUAGGAAUUUUUUUGAGGUCACGCCAAAAGCAUACUUCUUGAGAUUGAGCUUCAUCUAGUGCUAUCUUAGUUCACCAAACGCUUCUUCGAGGUCGAUUAUAUACUAAUUUUUUUCAAUGCUCUUGACUAGCAUGUCAUCGAUGUAGACCUCUAUGUUGUGACUGAUAUGAUGUUUGAACACCUAUUG
rnacentral:lncRNA from 1 species